UUGUUUAUUUUGUUUAAAUAGCUUUGGUGAUGGGCUGCUUCAAGUAACUACAUAUUUUCCUGGUGUUAGCCUUUUAUAUUGUUUCUUUUGAUUUCUUGCUUAAACACAAUGUGAUUUCAUAUGCAUGAUUCCAAAGUAUACAUUCAUCAGAAGAAUUAAUUCAGGUCUAGUUUUCUGUUCUGCAGUUGUCUGUCAUAUGAGACAUUUUCAGUAUUGGAAGACUUAGUAUCAUGAUAAGUAUGGUGUUAGAUCAGGUACAUCCUUUGUGAAAAGAAAUGUUUUGAGCUCUUAUUAGCUAACUUUUUAAAAAAAGUGGAUUUCUAGUGCAAGACAGGUACCUUGGGUAAAAGAAAGCAGAGGGUGGUAAUAUAAAAACUCAGAAAUUUCUCUUUUAGAACAUGUUUAAGGCUUAUGUAUUGCAGCAACUUUAUAAAAAUAAUUAGAAAAACAAAUUUUUAAUAGGUAAUCUUACUGGAUGUUUUUAUCCCCCCAAGAAAAUGCAAAGGCUGUUUCAGCUAAUAGAUGUAAAUUGUAGUGCAUUUCUAAUUUAUUUCCAGUUGUGCGGUGUAAAACUGCACAUUUAAACCAAAAUGUGUGGUUUCAUGCUGCAGGACUAGAAGAAUUUAGAUUCUGGAAGUUAACAGCCUCCAGCUGCACAAGGCUAUCUGAUUCUUUUUGCUACAAACUGUGACAGAGUAGAUUUGACUUCUGGGGAUAGGCAGCUUGCUGUGCACUAAAUGGCUUUGUAUAGAGGUGAAGUUUUGCAUUAUUUCUGCCCAUGUUACUUUUGUUGAGUUUUGAAAUCUUAAGUGUUUAUUCUAGGAUGUAUGUGUGAUGCGGUUUUAUUUGGUUUGUUGUUACAUUUGCUAGGUAGUGCUUUUUCCUUCCUUAUACUUGGUGUGUAUUUGCAGUGUAUUUUUGAAGGGAAAACUUCAAGUUAUUGGAUGUUAUUCUCAAAAAUGAUGGAAGGAAUCAACACCUUGAUUAUUCUAGAGAUAACUUGAGCUGUCAUUUCCAGUGUGAAGUGUCACCUGCUAAAUGCAAGUGCUGUACUUGAAGAAGCUGUGGCACUCCUGACGUGCUGGUGUCAGUAGAUCGUGGGAUGUCAGCCAUCAAAGGUGGUUUGAUCACCUGAAGAAGUUACUGUUUUGUUUAAGCUGCUUGUGCUUAGCAUAUUUUAUGGAUUUGACUGAAGGGUUCUUGCCCACUGUGACUUUUUGUUUUUCCACUGACUUUUUGUCAGUUCCUUGGUCAGUACUUUUCACUUGUCAAGAGCUGAUUAUAGCUUUUAACUUGAUAAACCUAUGUAUUGACUGUAUAGUACUUGAAAUAUACAUUCACUUGUUUCUAGCUGUUGUUGUUUCCUGCUGCUAAAGGAAGCUGUGUUUCUUUGUGCUGUGGUUCAGUAAAUAUCUGUAAGACAUGAGAAAGAAGGAAAGCAAAUAUAUGUGUGGGGUUUUUUUCAAGUUGAUCUUUUAUUAUAUGAGAAUGCCUAGAAGCAUUGAAAAAGUGGGGAAUUCUGUUAAUAACUAUAGUCAAUACUAGUAUGAAAAGUUUAAAAUGUUUGACUAUUGAGAAGUCAACAAGCAAGCUGAUUGUUUGCUGAUGGAAAAGAAUAGUUUGCAUUUGUAGUGAGCACAUUGAAACAGAAACACAGUAUCACACCUCAAUCUCUGCCGUUUCUGUGACAGCAUUAUAACAAUGAUCAAAUGUUGUCAUCUUACAUAGCAGACAUAUGAAACAUUGCUCAUUUUGCCUUAUUUAAAUUGUUUAUGUUUAGUGGUAUUGCUUUUGGAUAGUACUGUGGGUAGUACGUAGUCCUGGGAAGAGUUCAAAUACCUUUUGUUGGAAACUGCUGAAGAAACUUGUGAAUUCAGGAUUUUUGCUAGUGAAUUGUCCUUAAACAAGGAGAUAAGAUAUGUAGCAAGGCCAGUAUUUGGUUACACUUUCUGAGACCUGAAAACUUGUUACUUAGUUAACAAAAGCCUUAGUACCUUGCAUUACAUGUUAGAUUUUAUGUGCAGUUUCUUUGUUAACACUUCUUCCACUGAUACACCUAUUAGCUGAUUAAAAUUUUAGCAAGUGCCCCUCUGUUCUCCUUGCUCAUCCUUCCUCUCUGUCCUGUGUGCAGUGAGAGUUGGUCUUAGUUUUUCAGUCACAAGCAUUCACACCUGCAGUGUCCUGUUGUGGGAAAGGUUUCUUGCCACUUGCCUACAGCCUGACUUAUGGCCAUCUUCUUGAACAGCUCUCUGCAGCCCUCUUUUUCAAACUGGGGGUUGAAACAUAUGAUGACUGGUGAAAAGGUCAGUGUAAUACUUCCCUUGCCCCUCAAGCUGUGAUGAAGCCUUGCUUUAAAAUACAAUGGCCUAUUCAGCUGCAGGAACAACCACCAAAAUGUUGGCAAAUAUCUGUCCUUGUAUAGCCAAAUUAACCAAAAAAAUGCUGUAUGAAAGCCACACACAUCACCCAAACAUUGUUUCCCAACUUCCAUGCAUACAGUGGUGUCACUUACAAAAGCUGAGUGGUGGUUUCUGUUUUGUUUCCUUAUUUAUUUAUUUUUUUUGAAAGGAAUGAUAGCUUUCUAAACUGUGUAACUGUGCCCUGCAUUUCCUGACGAUCUCUGUUGGAUGUUCAGAACAUCUAAACAGUGAGUCAGUAUAGAGGCAUAGUUUGAGACUUCCUGUCCUGUUUUUAUCUGAGGCAUCCAAAGCAACCACUGAAUAGUACCCCUGCAGCAUUUAGAAUAUAGCAGCUGUUAAUAUCUGUUGUUGUAUCUACCACUGGGCUAAAUCUAAGACAAUUUUCAGAUGGUUCUUUCGUGUAGUCUUCAUAAAUUUCCAGAUGUUUAGUAAGAAUGUGUUUCUUGGCUGAUACAAGGAAAAUAUGACCUUGAUGUUUUCUGAAUAGGUUUUCUGAAUAGAUUUACAGAGACUGUAAACUGGCAUAAUAGUUGUGCAAAAAUGUGUGGUUAUUAAAUCAGUCUUUAAAAA